rnacentral:misc_RNA from 1 species
GUGAAUCAUCGAAUUUUUGAACGCAAAUUGCACUCUCCGGUUUUCCGGGAGAGUAUGCCUGUUGGGGGGCAGGCUAAAUAAAAUCGGGUUAGGAGGUUGGUGGGUUGUUCAAGGGAAAGGUGGUCGGAAUUUGGGUCAUUUUAAACAGAAAGGUUUUUAAGGGGAUUAAAAUGUUCUUAAGAUCUAGGGAAAGGUUAUAAGGAUUUU